rnacentral:rRNA from 1 species
GUCUUUUUGAGUUAUUUUUAAAGUCUGACCUGCCCACUGAAUAUUUUUAAAUGGCCGCAGUAUUCUAACUGAGCAAAGGUAGCAUAAUCAUUAGUCUUUUAAUUGAAGGCUGGUAUGAACGGUUGGACGAAGUAUAAGCUGUUUCAUAUAAAAUUAUAUUAGAAUUUUAUAUUUUAGUUAAAAAGCUAAAAUAUUAUUAAAAGACGAGAAGACCCUAUAAAUCUUUAUAUUUAAUAUUAUCCAAAUUUUUUUGAUUAAUUUUAUUUUUAUAAUAUUAAAUAUUUUGUUGGGGUGAUAUUAAAAUUUAACAAACUUUUAAUUUUGAAUUAGAACAUUAAUUUAUGAAUAGUUGAUCCAUUAUUAAUGAUUAUAAGAUUAAGUUACUUUAGGGAUAACAGCGUAAUUUUUUUUGAGAGUUCAUAUCGACAAAAAAGUUUGCGACCUCGAUGUUGGAUUAAGAUAUAUAUUUAGGUGUAGCCGUUUAAAUAUUAAGUCUGAUCGACUUUUAAAUUCUUACAUGAUCUGAGUUCAA